UUAAAAUAAUGAAGUUCCAAAAAAUUCAAAUUAUAUUUAUAAUAUACAUCUCAUCAAUUAUUAACACAUCCUUGUAUCAGUAAAUUAACUUUCCAAUAAAAAUUACAUCAAGACAACAAACCUCUGUUACAUAAUCAGUAAUAGACUUUUCAGAAAAUAGGUUUAGCAAUCUACCAUGCAGACACAAGGAAUCUCCAUUACACUCCCAAUUUUAUGCAGCAGAAGAUAAAGUAUGUUAUUAGUAAACUGUAUCCCCCCCUCCCCCCCUUCCACCCCGCCAAAUUAACAAGCAUACGGACAUAGAUAACAUUAUAAAAGGGCGCAACCCUAGAAAUCAAUAUGUCACCACAGAUCUCCUGAUGAAGAUGAGAAGGAAGGAUCAAACAGAGAAAUCCUUCGACUUUUGUGUGAAAAUGUGGAUUUUAUCGAGAACUCAUGUGAAGCAGAAAAUUUGUCAAGUAUGGAUCUGAUGGUCUGGUGGACAGAGCUUACAAGCAAUUGCUGUACUUCAGUAUCUUCACAAUGCCCUUCUUUGCAGCCCGUCAUCACAAAAACAUUCUUCAUCCUGCCUUCCAAGGUUGCAAUCUCUGCCUUCAUUACUAUCAAAUGGAGUGAAUCAAGUGCUUGUCUCAAAUCAGAUAGAAGUCCAGGCUUAUAAUCACAGCUCAAUGAUACCCUGAUUAAAUAAGGGCCAACAUCCAAUCCAUUCUCUUGUCCUUCUACUCUUACUUCAUCAAUAUCCGUUGGCAUGAGAAGACCUUCACUAGCUUCUGCAGCACUCCUUUUUAGUUCUUGCAGAUGGCUUACAACUUCAGAAAGCAAUGAUGCCUUGUCCAUCUUGUUGGCACCCGGUACCAUGCUCCUAAGAGUAUCGAGAUGAGCAUUAAUUCUAGCUCUACGCUUCCUCUCUGCUUCACAAUGAUUUCUCAAGGCCACAAUGCUUCUCUCUGCAGACACCCCCCCUCUCCCUACUCUCACAGUAGCCUCCACAAGCUCGCCCCUCUGACUAUCCAAAACCAAGGAAGAAGUUGAACAUGACCCAUCUCUUGUUUUGGCUUCAAAGCCAGAAUUCAUAGAAAACCCAUCACACAAUCCAUCCAAAUCAGAGGUAUGCACGCUUGAGCUCCCAGAACGAGGUUCCAUUGCUAACAUAAGUAUACUGAAGGGUACAAUUGUAAUUUUACCGAUAGUGGGUGAGAAGCAGAAAUGAUAGAGUGACCAGGAAAGGAAGAUUCGGUGGGGAUGACAAGAAAGACAACCUGGAACGAUGUAGUUUUUGUACGUUCGCAAAAAUCCUAUCCCAUCUUACUGUUGUAGCUGUAACUUCCAUUAGACAAAGAAGAAGAAGCUGCUGAGACUUGAGACGACGUAGAAUGUGGUCAUUCUUUAAAAGGGCAAUAAAGGGUUAAAGGACUGGAGCGGAGCAGAGGUCUAAAGUGGCGUAUUCGGAGUGGCCGACUUGACCACAACUUUUAUAAAUGAUAAUAAAGGUAUGAAUUAUUUUCCAAACCAGUUCGCCUGUCGUCGAUCUCUAACCUUCUCGUUUCAUGAUGUUCUUUAAUUCUUUUGUUGUUGUUGUCGCAUGUCAUCAAUGUCACAACAUCAACG
rnacentral:misc_RNA from 1 species